rnacentral:rRNA from 1 species
UACGAAGGGUGCAAGCGUUAAUCGGAAUUACUGGGCGUAAAGCGUGCGUAGGCGGUUUCUUAAGCCUGCUGUGAAAUCCCCAGGCUUGACCUGGGAACUGCAUCCGAUACUGGAUGGCUUGAAUCCGGGAGAGGGAUGCGGAAUUCCAGGUGUAGCGGUGAAAUGCGUAGAUAUCUGGAGGAACACCGGUGGCGAAGGCGGCAUCCUGGACCGGCAUUGACGCUGAGGAGCGAAAGCCAGGGGAGCAAACGGG